rnacentral:rRNA from 1 species
GACGAACGCUGGCGGCGUGCUUAACACAUGCAAGUCGAACGGAAAGGCCUGCUUUCCCUUGUGGAUUGCGGGUACUCGAGUGGCGAACGGGUGAGUAACACGUGAGUGAUCUGCCCCCAACUUGGGUAUAAGCCUGGGAAACUGGGUCUAAUUCCCGAUAGGACUGCAGGGUGGUGCCUGUGGUGGAAAACGAUUUUCUAGUGGUUGGGGAUGAGCUCGCGGCCUAUCAGCUUGUUGGUGGGGUAAUGGCCUACCAAGGCGGCGACGGGUAGCCGGCCUGAGAGGGUGGACGGCCACAUUGGGACUGAGAUACGGCCCCGACUCCUACGGGAGGCAGCAGUGGGGAAGAUUGCACAAUGGGCGGAAGCCUGAUGCAGCGACGCCGCGUGGGGGAUGACGGCCUUCGGGUUGUAAACUCCUUUCGACCGCGAGGAAGCCACCUGGUUGGAAGGGUGGUGACGGUAGUGGUAGAAGAAGCACCGGCUAACUACGUG